rnacentral:tRNA from 1 species
UAAAUUUUAGUUUAUUUAAAAAUAUUUUAUUUACACUAAAAAGAAUAAUUUAAUUAAAAUUUAA